GCCUCACAUAACAGGCCUCACAGGCAGCAAACGCUUGUUGAACAGAUCGAUGAACUGUCUGCCGCCAAUGAUCAACAAAGCAGGAAUGGAGGCUGCCAGCAGGGAGCAGGUCCCCGCCUGGGGCCCACGGAGAUGAAGACAAGCACCGCCAAGUGUAGCUAAUCCUGCAGAAGGGCUGCUGCUGUCAGGCCAGGAGUUAAAAAGGAAAACCUUGCAGGCCUUCACCACUGCGGCGAUCUGAAGUUUUAAUCAGCCCCAAUCUCCAUCUCUGCAAAAGGCCGUCAAUGAAAUCCACCUUUGCCGUAUUAUCCGCCACCAAUGAGCAAGAACUGAGCAUCUUUUCUUUGCGGCUUCAACCAUCCUGGGGCCACAAGUGGGGCUUUCAUACUUUCUAAUCCGAGUUUCCAAGUCUGUGUGGUUCUCACAUAAUAGCCAACAGCCUGGAGCAAGGGCCUUCCUUUCUGCACCCUUUUCAGAGACGUGUCAUUCCCAACUUCAAGCUAAUCUAUAUGUUGCCAUGGCGUCCCCCUUUAUCUGCCUUUACAUCUUAUGAACUGCAUGGAUUUACCACAUUAUUUUUAUCUGAAAGACAGAAAAUGGUGGUUUUAUUGCCAUACAAUCAGAUUACGGCUGCUAGUUUCUCUAUGCCUUUUUACCACACUUCAAUCAAAAGAGAUCAGUUUCUUUAUACUCUGCCCUUGAUUUACAUUACAUCUGUAAAGACCCAGUCUGGGUUGUAAUCCUCUUAUUAACUAUGACCAGGGUUGAUUUGCCUAAAAAUAAAAGCAAAUUGUGUCAGA